rfam:Otolemur garnettii contig112831, whole genome shotgun sequence.
UUUCUUGUCUCUUCAGAUUGCAUAAAUAUUUAUCCUUUUACUAAAGAUUUCUAUAAAGAGGAACAAUUCUGAGUCUUUACCCAAUUUUUUGAGGUCUUGUGUUUCAAGGCU